rnacentral:rRNA from 1 species
ACAACUUUUAAUAACAGAUCUCUUGGUUCUAGCAUUAAUAAAGAACGCAGCAAAAUGCAAUAAGUAGUGUAAAUUGUAGAAUUUAGUAAAUUAUUAAAUCUUUAAACACACAUUACGCCCCUUAGUAUUCUAUAGGGCAUGCCUAUUUAAGCGUUAUUUGUACCCUUAAGCUCUGCUUAGUGUUAGGUGUUUGUUCUACUUAGGACUCGCCUUAAAAUAAUUAGUAGCUAGCACAUUAGCCUAAAGCGCAGCAUAUUUUGCGCCUCUUGUUAUAGUUAUUAGUAUCUAUUAAGACACUUUUUAAGCUCUUAACCUUAGAUUAGGUAGGGAUACCCGCUAAACUUAAGCAUAUUAAUAAGCGGAGGAAAAGAAACUAAUAGGGAUUGCCCUAGUAACAGCGAGUGAAGCGGCAACAGCUUAAAUUUAAAAUCUAGCUCUUUUAGGGUCUAAGUUAUAAUUUGCAGAGGGCGCUUUAGCGUUAGCAGUAGUCUAAGUUCCUUAGAAUAGGACGUUACAGAGGGUAAGAAUCCUAUACGUAGUCGCUAGCCUUCGCCGUGUAAAGCCCCUUUAAUAAGUUAAGUUGUUUAGGAAUAUAGCUCUAAAUAGGAGGUAAAUUUCUUCUAAAGCUAAAUACUAGCUAGAGACUAAUAGCGCACAAGUAGAGUAAUUAAAAGAUAAAAAGUACUUUAGAAAGAGAGUUAAAUAGCACGUAAAAUUGUUAAAAGGGAAGCGCUUGCAGCUAGACUUGCCUAUAGUUACUUAUCUAGGCUUUUGUCUAGUGCACUCUUCUAUAGGCAGGCUAGUAUUAGUUUAGGCAGUUAGAUAAAGGUCUCUAUUACGUACCUCCCUUUAGGGAGGCCUUAUAGGGGAGACAACAUGUAACUAGCCUAGACUAAGGUCCGCGCAUCUGCUAGGAUGCUAGCAUAAUAGCUGUAAGCGGCCUAUCUUAAAAUAUAGACUAAGGAGUCUAAUAUCUAUGCAAGUGUUUAGGUGUUAAGCCUAGACGCGUAAUAAAAGUAAAUAGAGGUAGGAACCCUUUUAGGGUGCACUAUUAACCAAUCCUAAUGUCUUUAGAAGGAUUUAAGUAAGAGUAUAGCUAUUAGGACCUAAAAGAUAGUAAACUAUGCUUAAAUAGGGUAAAGCUAGAGGAAACUCUAGUAGAGGCUUGUAGCAGUUCUAACGUGCAAAUUAAUUAUUAAAUUUAGGUAUAGGGGCGAAAGACUAAUUAAACUAUCUAGUAGCUAGUUCCUACUAAAGUUUCCCUUAGGAUAGCAGUAACGUAUUUAGUUUUAUAAGGUAAAGCAAAUAAUUAGAGGCCUAGGGGUUAAAAUAACCUUUACCUAUUCUUAAACUUUAAAUAUAUAAGAAGUCCUUAUUACUUAAUUAAAUAUAGAUACUUAAAUAUACUAUUACUAGUAGGCUAUUUUUAGUAAGCAGAACUAGUAAUGCAGGAUAAACUAAACGCAGGGUUAAGGUGCUAGAAUACACGCUUAUUAGACACCACAAAAGGUGUUAGUUUAUCUAGACAGCAGGAUAGUAGCUAUAGAAGUUAGAAUCCGCUAAGGAGUGUGUAAUAACUUACCUGCUAAAUAAACUAGCCCUAAAAAUAGAUAGCGCUUAAGCGUGUUACCUAUACCCCGCCACUAGGGCAAGAUUUAAGCCCUAGCAAGUAGGCAGGCGUGGAGGCUCGUAACAAAGCCUUAGGGGUAACCCUAGGUAGAAUAGCCUCUAGUGCAGAUCUUAGUAGUAGUAGCAAAUACUUAAAUAAGAACUUUAAGGACUAAAGUAGGGAAAGGUUCUAUAUAAAUAGUAGUUAGAUAUAGGUUAGUUAAUCCUAAGAGAUAGGGUAAUUCUAUUUUAAUGUUAGUGCUUGCGCUGCGCCCUUAAAAGGGAAGCUAGUUAAUAUUCUAGUACCUAGAUGUAGAUUCUCCGCAGUAACGUAACUAAGAGCAGAGACCUUAGCGGGAGCCCUAAGAAGAGUUCUCUUUUCUUCUUAACAGUCUAUUACCCUAAAAUUAGUUUAUCUAGAGCUAGGGUUUAAUAGCUAGAAGAGCGCUAUACUUUUGCAGCGUUUAGUGCGCUCCUAAUAAGCCUUAAAAAUCUGCUUAAAGAAAUAGUUUUUACGCUAGGUUGUACUUAUAACCGCAGCAGGUCUCUAAGGUAAAAAGCCUCUAGUUAAUAGAAUAAUAUAGAUAAGGGAAGUUAGUAAAAUAGAUCUGUAACUUUAGGAAAAGGAUUAGCUCUAAGGGUUAGGUACGUUAGGCCUUAGGGAGAAGCCUCUAGCGCAGAAGGGCACUAACUACAAGGUAGGCGCCUCUUAGCGCUAGGGUGCAGAUACCCUUAGCAGGUUUCAGCUGUCUAGCGUAUAUUUAACAACUAACUUAGAACUAGUAUAGAUAAGGGGAAUCUAACUAUCUAAUUAAAAUAUAGCAUUAUAAUAGCUAGAAAGUAGUAUUAAUAUAAUGUAAUUUCUGCCUAGUGCUCUAAAUAUUAAAGCAAA